rnacentral:rRNA from 1 species
UAGGGAAUCUUCGGCAAUGGGGGGAACCCUGACCGAGCAACGCCGCGUGUGUGAAGAAGGUUUUCGGAUCGUAAAGCUCUGUUGUUAAGGAAGAACGAGUGUGAGAAUGGAAAGUUCAUGCUGUGACGGUACUUAACCAGAAAGGGACGGCUAACUACGUGCCAGCAGCCGCGGUAAUACGUAGGUCCCGAGCGUUGUCCGGAUUUAUUGGGUUUAAAGGGGGUGUAGGCGGUUGGUUAAGCGUGUUGUGAAAUGUAGAUGCUCAACAUCUGACUUGCAGCGCGAACUGGCUGAGUUGAGUACACACAACGUAGGCGGAAUUCAUGGUGUAGCGGUGAAAUGCUUAGAUAUCAUGAAGAACUCCGAUUGCGAAGGCAGCUUACGGGAGUGUUACUGACGCUUAAGAUCGAAGGUGCGGGUAUCGAACGGG